rnacentral:rRNA from 1 species
GCCUUCCCGGUGAGUCUGCGGGCUUAAACGGACGCGGUAAAGCGUGCUAAGGUAGCUAAAUUAUGGCCUAUUAAUUGUAGGUCCUGUGAAUGGUUUGACGAGUCUUCAACUGUCUCUAGUUUUUUUGGUGAACUUGAAUUGGAUGUGCAAAUGCUUCCAUGGGUAAGAAAGACGAGAAGACCCCGUGAAGUUAGAAAUUUUGGUUGUUGGUGAGCUUUGUUGGGUGCAGGUUAGGCCACUUUAAGUGGUUUGAAAGAAAAGUGAACAGCGAUAGUUUUGGCUGGGGCAGCAAAGAAGCAAGGCUAGACUUCUUUAGUUUAAGGACAGGUGUGUGACGACCCACAAGUUUGUUGGUGUGAUUAGCAGAAGAAGUUACUCCGGGGAUAACA